GCGUAGCUCAGUUGCCUAGAGCGUGGCGCUGAUAAUGCCAAGGUCGCAGGUUCGAUCCCCAUAAGGGACAGCUGCA